GACGAACGCUGUCGGCGCGCCUAACACAUGCAAGUCGAACGGAACUAACCGCCGUGAGGCCUUCGGGCCGAACAUGGUAAGUUUAGUGGCGGACGGGUGAGUAACGCGUGAGUAACCUGCCUUUCAGAGGGGGAUAACGUCUGGAAACGGACGCUAAUACCGCAUAAUGUCACGUUAUCGCAUGGUAGUGUGACCAAAGGAGCAAUCCGCUGAGAGAUGGACUCGCGUCCAAUUAGCUAGUUGGUGGGGUAAUGGCCCACCAAGGCUGCGAUUGGUAGCCGGACUGAGAGGUUGAACGGCCACAUUGGGACUGAGACACGGCCCAGACUCCUACGGGAGGCAGCAGUGGGGAAUAUUGCACAAUGGGGGAAACCCUGAUGCAGCGACGCCGAGUGAGGGAAGAAGGUUUUCGGAUUGUAAACCUCUGUCCUUGGUGAAGAAGAUGACGGUAGCCAAGGAGGAAGCUACGGCUAACUACGUGCCAGCAGCCGCCGUAACAC
rnacentral:rRNA from 1 species